AAACUUUGAAUUUUUAUUUCUUGGAAAUACCAAGUCCAAGUCGAUUCCAAACAGGGAAGGCGACGCAGAGAAACUAUUACCAAAUGACCAAAUAAAUUAAACCAACGAAACCAUUUCUACAUACAUCUAUCGUAACAAAAUCUGGUUAUCUCUUUCUGAUUCUCGUUUUCUAUCUGUUCUCAGCUUUUUAGGGUUUACCUUCUCGCGGGAUCCUCAUCUACUCAAUCUUCAAGAUUUUGCUUACAGAACGAUCAGGAGUUUUGGCACUUAAAAAGAGGAUCGGAUAGCAUGGCUAAUAACGCUGCUGCCUGUGCCGAGAGGGCAACCAAUGAUAUGUUGAUCGGUCCUGACUGGGCUAUCAACAUUGAGCUUUGCGAUAUCAUCAACAUGGAUCCUAGCCAAGCAAAAGAUGCAAUGAAGGUACUCAAGAAGCGUCUAGGCACUAAAAAUCCUAAAAUACAGCUUCUGGCUCUUUUUGUAAGUAUUUUUUCUUUCCUGAUGUCUUUUUCAUUUUUAUAUAGUUUUAUUUGAUUGUUAUCCUUUCCAUAUCAUUUCAUUUUCCAUUUGAACUUAUGAGAAUCUUGCUUUCUAGUAUGG